rnacentral:lncRNA from 1 species
UAUCCCUAAGGAGCAAAGUAGGCAGGAGGGCAGUAAUCGGCCACCCGAUCAAAGUCGAACCACUCGAGUACGGCUCGGCCGAUGCCCUCGUGGCUUCAACCAGCGACCACUGCAGCAGCGAGACGACAGUCGAACACGAGAGGAGCCCAGCAGUACUUAAACCGUCAUGGAGAACUGCACGGAGAACGAAUUCUCGGGUCCCACGGCCACACGUGGCAAUAGCACCGACGUUCAAGAAGUCAGGCCAUGUGGCG